GAUGAACGCUGGCGGCGUGCUUAACACAUGCAAGUCGAACGGAAAGGCUCCUGCUUGCAGGGGUACUCGAGUGGCGAACGGGUGAGUAACACGUGGGUGAUCUGCCCUGCACUUCGGGAUAAGCCUGGGAAACUGGGUCUAAUACCGGAUAGGACGAUGGUUUGGAUGCCAUUGUGGAAAGUUUUUCGGUGUGGGAUGAGCUCGCGGCCUAUCAGCUUGUUGGUGGGGUAAUGGCCUACCAAGGCGUCGACGGGUAGCCGGCCUGAGAGGGUGUACGGCCACAUUGGGACUGAGAGACGGCCCAGACGCCUACGGGAGGCAGCAGUGGGGAAUAUGGCACAAUGGGCGCAAGCCUGAUGCAGCGACGCCGCGUGGGGGAUGACGGCCUUCGGGUUGUAAACUCCUUUCGCUAGGGACGAAGCGCAAGUGACGGUACCUGGAGAAGAAGCACCGGCUAACUACGUG
rnacentral:rRNA from 1 species